AUUGAACGCUAGCGGGAUGCCUUACACAUGCAAGUCGAACGGCAGCGCGGACUUCGGUCUGGCGGCGAGUGGCGAACGGGUGAGUAAUAUAUCGGAACGUGCCCAGUAGCGGGGGAUAACUACUCGAAAGAGUAGCUAAUACCGCAUACGCCCUACGGGGGAAAGGGGGGGAUCGCAAGACCUCUCACUAUUGGAGCGGCCGAUAUCGGAUUAGCUAGUUGGUGGGGUAAAGGCCCACCAAGGCGACGAUCCGUAGCUGGUUUGAGAGGACGACCAGCCACACUGGGACUGAGACACGGCCCAGACUCCUACGGGAGGCAGCAGUGGGGAAUUUUGGACAAUGGGGGAAACCCUGAUCCAGCCAUUCCGCGUGUGCGAUGAAGGCCUUCGGGUUGUAAAGCACUUUUGGCAGGAAAGAAAUCGCACAAAUUAAUACUUUGUGUGGAUGACGGUACCUGCAGAAUAAGCACCGGCUAACUACGUGCCAGCAGCCGCGGUAAUACGUAGGGUGCAAGCGUUAAUCGGAAUUACUGGGCGUAAAGCGUGCGCAGGCGGUUCGGAAAGAGAGGUGUGAAAUCCCAGGGCUUAACCUUGGAACUGCACUUUUAACUCCCGAGCUAGAGUAUGUCAGAGGGGGGUGGAAUUCCGCGUGUAGCAGUGAAAUGCGUAGAUAUGCGGAGGAACACCGAUGGCGAAGGCAGCCCCCUGGGAUAAUAC
rnacentral:rRNA from 1 species